GCGGGCGUGGUGAAAUUGGUAGACACGCUAGAUUUAGGUUCUAGUGACUUGCGUCGUGGGGGUUCAAGUCCCUCCGCCCGCACCA
rnacentral:tRNA from 1 species